rnacentral:rRNA from 1 species
UACGUAGGGUGCGAGCGUUGUCCGGAAUUAUUGGGCGUAAAGGGCUCGUAGGCGGUUUGUCGCGUCGGGAGUGAAAACCUUGGGCUUAACUCAGGGCUUGCUUUCGAUACGGGCAGACUAGAGGUAUGCAGGGGAGAACGGAAUUCCUGGUGUAGCGGUGAAAUGCGCAGAUAUCAGGAGGAACACCGGUGGCGAAGGCGGUUCUCUGGGCAUGACCUGACGCUGAGGAGCGAAAGUGUGGGGAGCGAACAGG